rnacentral:lncRNA from 1 species
GACUCGACUUGUAUGGUUUACCUUAGAUUUAGUCAAUAUCUCUAAUGGUAACGAAUACACCGCUAGAGAUGGUAGUUGGUAAUCGUUAUGUUUUAGCUUAUUACAUUUGUUAAGCUAUCACUUGGGUGAUAGUUAAGUAAUAUUCCUCUCCUGUUGGAGUUGGGGUUUUCCCCUCUUGAUAAUUUCUUUUCCCUGGCAAGGUCUUGCUUUGAUAAGCCUUCCUCGUUG